GCUCGUUCUCGGGGAGCUGCCGGGGCGUAUUCUCCCCUAACAGACCAGCGAUUCCAUCAGUUGAAAGGAGCAUUGUUACAUUCCAUAUAUGUAGAACAAAUAACGGCAGAACAGCUAUGCAAUUUGAGAUCGCAAAGUUAUGGUAGUAAAUAGUACUCCCUCCGUCCCAAAAUAAAAGUCUUUGAUAGUACAAAGUGUAAUAACUUUGUACUAAAUCAAAGUCACUUAUUUUGGGAUGGAGGGAGUAUGCAUUAUGUGAGGGAGGCAACUAGAUGGCGCGCGAGCGCCAUCCCAAUUUCCUGGCGCACGUGCUAUAAAUGGCAGGACCACUCGCUUGUGGCAAAAACAUACCCAAAACGGAAAGGGGUCGGUCCAUCAUGUGAUUCUCACCCCUGCACGUGCCCAUACCCACACCAUGCCCCCAGCUGAUCCCCAUCACGCACAGGCAAAAGCAAAACAGGGGACAAAAUGCCACCACACAAGAAAGGGUGGAACAAACAGGAAAAAGAGGCGGCCAUGGCGUCCUGAAGGUUAAGAGAAACAAAAACAUAGAAGUCUUCACAACAAGUUAUGCAAGCACAGGCGCAAACACAGAAAUCUAGGUGUGUUUAUUUUGUCACAACCCUGAUCUGUAGCAACACUCGUAGUAUUCUGAUCUGUUUGGCAGGAGACACAGGAAUCUAGAAAAUUAUCCUCCUACCUCUCCCCUUGAUUUGAUUCUUAGAAGAUUCUGGGUACAAGGUCUUUGGAAACUUGAAGCCAGAAUUGUCGAUUCGUUUUGCCUGUGAGCGAUCCUGACCUGCAUAUAUGCAUAGGAGAUGUUAGGUUGGCUUGUGCACAACUGAAUUGUAAUAAGUUGCUUCACAUAUAGUUGGUUUAUAAGUAAAAAAUGUGUUGGUUGCUUGCCUUUCACGACAAAACGACCUAUAUGUUCCCCAGAUAGUACUAUGCUAGUUUGUUUGUGUGAGAAGUUUUUAGAAUGCAACAUUUUUGUGUGGAAAAAGCAACUUUACUGUAAGAUCCAGGUUUAUAAAUGGAUCAUCUUAACAUGAAAUGCAAAUUAACAUGCUUGUCGCCUAGGCAAUGUACUAUACCAACUAGGCAAGCUAAAUUAGAUUGUUCCAACUAGUAUUACUGGAACAAAACUGAUAUGCCCCAGUAGUAAAAAUUACCAAUUCAGGCAAGGAUCCUGUGCUAUUGAGGAACAUGGAAAACUUGCUACAAAAAUCUGGUGCAAGACACAGCUACUGCAUCUUAAAUAAGACCAUGGAUAAGCUACAUUAUUGCUGGACUGUGGAGAAGACACUUUACUAUGCUAAGUAAGGAACAAAGAAAAACAGAAAAUAUCAACGAAAUGACUUGAGAAGUUCAGUAAAAGUGUCCUAUCUAUCUAUCUAUCCAUCUGCGUAGCAACAAUCACAGAUGAAAAGUAAGAGUGUUCUCUCAGAAAAAUGCCUCGUGUUGUCCCAAAGGUUUAAUGGAAUGUAUUGUAUCAGGCAACUGAUCAGUGUUGACCAACAAAGACCCCAAAACACAAAAUGAGCAAAGGCACAUGCUCUUGCACGGACAUACAGAGAAUAAACGAAACCUUGCUUCAUUAACACAAACAAAGUGGGAGAAGUUGCUUUAUCAAAUGGCCUGAAAAGUUACUGAGCACAAGUAGAUUUGUUCUCUCUAUCUCUUCUACCUCUAUCUCUAUCUACCUAUCUACUACUUGCUUCAUUGGCACACACAAGAAUACAACAAUGCCAGAUCGCCAUGAAGAAAUAGACAUAAUUAAGAAACUUGCUUCGCUGGCACAAACAAAGUGAGAGAGGACUUGCUUUAUCAAUUUGCCUGAGGAAAGCUACUUAUAUACCACAAGUAAAUUGCAUGUGUCGAUGAAAACAAAAUGCUACAACCAGUCUCACUAGAAAGCACAAAAAACAUGCCCCCUCGCGCUAAUCUUCACCUAUCUCCUGGAGGUGUUUGUGAGCAUGCCCCUUGACGGUAAAAACAUCGACUAAAUAAAUAUUCCCCCAAAAUCUAGUGUAAUUCGUAAGAAUGAACAAUGGGUGCUCUACUCUCCUCAGCAAGAAUGGUAAGAAACGAGCGCUUCUAAUCGAUGAACGGGUGCUCUGCUCAGUGCUCACCCUUGUAAAUCGGCCAAGGGAGUGGCUCUGGUCCUUGCGCAGCUACUGAACGGGGCUAAACUGCAUUACGGCGCUCUCUUUGCUAGGCCCCGUGGAGCGCGCGCAUACCUGAGGCUUGGUCGUCGGCGGCAGGCAGGCUGGGUCGAUGCUGCGCUCCUCCUUUCGCCGGCGCUCCAAUCACUCAAACUUCUAGCGCCGCCGCGACCGCCCUGCUACGCUUCUCUCCCCUCUCCAUCUUCCCCAUCUUCAGUGACCCAAGCAGCGCCACCGAGGCCGCGGCGGCCGCCUUCUGAUUUACCGUUCCCCGCGCUCGUCUUCCUUUCUCUGCCUCCACACGAUCUCC
rnacentral:lncRNA from 1 species